ensembl:lncRNA
CAAACUGUCUCAGAUGGUCUCCACUCUCCAGCAGCAGAAGAAGGAAAAUGAGGUCAAACUGGCUCAGUUGGUUUCCAAAAUAAAGCAGCAUUGGACCGGACUGGAGGAAACCAAAGAUCAACUCGCAAGUCUACUUGAGAAGGUGAAGACUGAGAAGGUGGAGAACAAGAAGGAGCUUCAGUCUGUGGAGGAUGAAAUAAGGGAGAGAGAAAAGCAUAACAGCCAAAGAGAACCUGCUGAAGGCUCAGUGGAAACUAGACGAGACAAAGAAGAACUAUGAGAGACUCAAAAUGAUGAUGGAGAACCUGAUGGAGCUCCAGAGUUCAUCUGUUCUACCUUGAUGAUCCCUGAUAACUUGAUGGAAGUCCUGUAUCUUUCUC